rnacentral:rRNA from 1 species
GACGAACGCUGGCGGCGUGCUUAACACAUGCAAGUCGAACGGAAAGGCCCUGCUUUUGUGGGGUGCUCGAGUGGCGAACGGGUGAGUAACACGUGAGUAACCUGCCCUUGACUUUGGGAUAACUUCAGGAAACUGGGGCUAAUACCGGAUAGGAGCUCCUGCUGCAUGGUGGGGGUUGGAAAGUUUCGGCGGUUGGGGAUGGACUCGCGGCUUAUCAGCUUGUUGGUGGGGUAGUGGCUUACCAAGGCUUUGACGGGUAGCCGGCCUGGGAGGGUGACCGGCCACAUUGGGACUGAGCUACGGCCCAGACGCCUACGGGAGGCAGCAGUGGGGAAUAUUGCACAAUGGGCGGAAGCCUGAUGCAGCAAAGCCGCGUGCGGGAUGCCGGCCUUCGGGUUGUAAACCGCUUUCGCCUGAGACGAAGCGUGAGUGACGGUAAUGGGUAAAGAAGCACCGGCUAACUACGUG